GACGAACGCUGGCGGCGUGCUUAACACAUGCAAGUCGAACGAUGAAGCCUAGCUUGCUAGGUGGAUUAGUGGCGAACGGGUGAGUAACACGUGAGCAACCUACCUUACACAGGGGGAUAGCCGUUGGAAACGACGAUUAAUACCGCAUGAGACCACAGAAUCGCAUGAUAUAGGGGUCAAAGAUUUAUCGGUGUAAGAAGGGCUCGCGUCUGAUUAGCUAGUUGGAAGGGUAAAGGCCUACCAAGGCGACGAUCAGUAGCCGGUCUGAGAGGAUGAACGGCCACAUUGGAACUGAGACACGGUCCAAACUCCUACGGGAGGCAGCAGUGGGGAAUAUUGCACAAUGGGGGGAACCCUGAUGCAGCGACGCCGCGUGAGCGAAGAAGGUUUUCGAAUCGUAAAGCUCUGUCCUAUGAGAAGAUAAUGACGGUAUCAUAGGAGGAAGCCCCGGCUAAAUACGUGCCAGCAGCCGCGGUAAUACGUAUGGGGCGAGCGUUGUCCGGAAUUAUUGGGCGUAAAGGGUACGUAGGCGGUUUUUUAAGUCAGGUGUGAAAGCGUGAGGCUUAACCUCAUUAAGCACUUGAAACUGGAAGACUUGAGUGAAGGAGAGGAAAGUGGAAUUCCUAGUGUAGCGGUGAAAUGCGUAGAUAUUAGGAGGAAUACCGGUGGCGAAGGCGACUUUCUGGACUUUUACUGACGCUCAGGUACGAAAGCGUGGGGAGCAAACAGG
rnacentral:rRNA from 1 species